CAGCCUGAAGUGAUGAUUCACAUUCAUGUCUCUUCUCUGAUGAGCUCUUGAAGGAGAUUCUGUGUGGCUGAUCAGGCCU